CUUUGUGCGUAAGGACCUGGGCCCAGGAGCGCCAUUGAAGCAGAGCAGAAAGUUAACAGCGCCUCUUUAUACAGAGCAGAGUUUCACAAUGGAGGAUACUGUCCGUAAACUUAGGGCAAGCUACAUGUAUUUAUACCAUAUCUCAUAGGGUUAUACAAAGACAUUCUAUCAUAUCAAUUAAAAGAAAAAAAGAUGGGGAAAGGGAAGAAAAGGUAAACUGGCAUCUCAGAAACGUCAGGAUCCGUGAACUGCACGCUCCCCAGGCUGGAACAGAAUGUCUUUU
rnacentral:lncRNA from 1 species